rnacentral:lncRNA from 1 species
UUGCAUUGGUUUUCACGGGAUGGUUUCUGUUAGCAGACCAAACUAAUCGAGCAGAGAUGUACCAACCCUCCAGUGAUGCAGAGUUAUUGUGGGACAAGAGGACACCAAGAAAGCAAUCGGUGGCAUGGCCUUUGCAGUAGAAGCCACAGAGGAAUUUUGUGGCCUCAUUUCCUACCUGAAGGAUUGGUGUCACAGUCCCACCAGAGAAAUCAAUAGGGCGAUUGAUCCACAAAGUGGAAAGUCUGGCAGUAGAAUUCAAAGGUCUGUCAUAUAAUGUCAAAUACUUUUGGGAAAAUGCAAACUGAGACAACAAGUGGAAAUAAAUGAAGCGAAGGACGGGA